rnacentral:rRNA from 1 species
GACGAACGCUGGCGGCGUGCCUAAUACAUGCAAGUGGGACGCAAGGGAACACACUGUGCUUGCACACCGUGUUUUCUUGAGUCGCGAACGGGUGAGUAACGCGUAGGUAACCUGCCUAUUAGCGGGGGAUAACUAUUGGAAACGAUAGCUAAUACCGCAUAAUAUUAAUUAUUGCAUGAUAAUUGAUUGAAAGAUGCAAGCGCAUCACUAGUAGAUGGACCUGCGUUGUAUUAGCUAGUUGGUAAGGUAAGAGCUUACCAAGGCGACGAUACAUAGCCGACCUGAGAGGGUGAUCGGCCACACUGGGACUGAGACACGGCCCAGACUCCUACGGGAGGCAGCAGUAGGGAAUCUUCGGCAAUGGACGAAAGUCUGACCGAGCAACGCCGCGUGAGUGAAGAAGGUUUUCGGAUCGUAAAGCUCUGUUGUAAGUCAAGAACGUGUGUGAGAGUGG